CUAUUGAGAUAAUCUAGCCAGCAAGUGGCUCUAGUGUAUGCCAGACACAGUGGCUAUAGUUGCAGGGGAGAAAAGAAAAGCAUAAUUGAUCCAUACUACCAUCAGGGACUUCUAUUGCCCUCUGCACAUCAAGCUAAUUGAGUCGCAGUGGAGGAACGCAUAAUUAAUUCAAACAGCAGGACCAACAUUUCUUCUUGGAGAGAUUCAAGCUGCUACUGAGGAGGACCAUCUCUUGCCCAAAAAGGAAUGUCUUUCUGCAGAAGUUUCAUGGGCCAAAUUACGUGAAGCUGGAGAUGAGGAGGAGGAAAAUUAUGAUGAGGAAAGUUACCAGGAAGAGGAACAUGAGGUGGUUGAAAAUGAUGUUGAUGUUCAGUCUAUCUCUGUCUCUGGUGAUGAGGGUGUGCAUAUUGCAGUGGAUCAUAAAGGACAAACAUCUGAGGAGAAUGGUUGUGAAAUAGGCUCGUUAGAUUCUGAAAAUUUGGUUGAUCAUGCAGAAGAGCUUCAGGCUGAAAAAAGAGACCAUAGUUGCAGCGAGAAUGUAAAUGCUAUCGAGGACUGAGCUCGCGAACCAAAACUACCAUGGAAAGUUCUUGUGGCCGACAUACUUUUGGGGAUUACUUCAUUAGCUAAGCCAGCAUGUGGCUGUAUUUGAUAAUUAAUUAUUCUUACAUGGUCUC